ACCGUCGUGAGACAGGUUAGUUUUACCCUACUGAUGAAUCGAUGUUGCGACAGUAAUCUUACUUAGUACGAGAGGAACCGUUAGAUCAGAUAAUUGGUUAAUACGGUUAGCUGAAAAGCUAAUGCCGUGAAGCUACCAUCUGUUGGAUUAUGACUGAAAGCCUCUAAGUCAGAAACCAUGCUGGAAAGCAACGUCCAAUCAAUAAUAAAUGAAAAACAAUAAGGGAAACCUUAAGUUCAGAGGUAUGGCGCUGAUACCCAAAAGGGCUUAGGCAAAGUACCAAUCAAUUUCAAUUA
rnacentral:rRNA from 1 species